rnacentral:rRNA from 1 species
UACGUAGGGUGCGAGCGUUAAUCGGAAUUACUGGGCGUAAAGCGUGUGCAGGCGGUUUGUUAAGUCAGUUGUGAAAGCCCCGGGCUCAACCUGGGAACUGGGUUUGGUACUGGCAAGCUAGAGUACGGCAGAGGGGGGUGGAAUUCCACGUGUAGUAGUGAAAUGCGUAGAGAUGUGGAGGAACACCGAUGGCGAAGGCAGCCCCCUGGGCCGAUACUGACGCUCAGGCACGAAAGCGUGGGGAGCAAACAGG